rnacentral:miRNA from 1 species
UCAUCUUUCUUCUUUCU